rnacentral:tRNA from 1 species
GGGGCUGUAGCUCAGUGGUAGAGCCCUUGCCUCAUAGGUAUGAGGCCCUGGGUUUGAGUCUCAGCAUCACAU